UUUGCUCACCAUUUUGCUCUAACAGCCCCAGUGACCUUGAGGAUGGAGGUUGUGGGACCUGGAGGAGGAGGAGGCUGAGCUGUCAACACCUCGAUCCUUGAGAGACUAGUAAGGUCUCCGAGGACUACUGGAGUCACCGUGAGUCCUGAGGAGGAGGCAAGCGUCCCCAGGAAGUGGCCUCGGCCUCUCUGCAGGAGACGGCACUACCUUCUCCAGGAGCCGCGAAGCCACACCGCAGGAAGGCGGAGGAGGCAGGCUCUCUGUCCAGUGCCAGGCCCACAUGCCGGGGACCCUCAGAUCAGCACUGUCUGUUGUGUCACAUCAGGGGAGCAGAAUUGGGUGGUUAAGACUCAAGGAAGUGUUUGUGGAUUUACUUUCUCUGCAAAAUGUCCCUGACUCCGGACAUGUCCUGGCAUGCAUGUGACAGCCACACCUGGGACCUCACCACACAGUAUCCAGAGGAACAGGACGAUGGCCAGCUUCCAAGCCACCUCGACCACAGGCUGUGGUGACUGCACCCCAGCCCAUCUCCUCCCCAGGGACACAGCCACGC
rnacentral:lncRNA from 1 species